AUUGAACGCUGGCGGCAGGCCUAACACAUGCAAGUCGAACGGCAGCACAGAAGAGCUUGCUCUUUGGGUGGCGAGUGGCGGACGGGUGAGUAACACGUAGGAAUCUACCCAGUAGUGGGGGAUAACCUGGGGAAACCCAGGCUAAUACCGCAUACGCCCUGAGGGGGAAAGCGGGGGAUCUUCGGACCUCGCGCUAUUGGAUGAGCCUGCGUCGGAUUAGCUAGUUGGUGGGGUAAGGGCUCACCAAGGCGACGAUCCGUAGCUGGUCUGAGAGGAUGACCAGUCACACCGGAACUGAGACACGGUCCGGACUCCUACGGGAGGCAGCAGUGGGGAAUAUUGGACAAUGGGCGCAAGCCUGAUCCAGCCAUGCCGCGUGGGUGAAGAAGGCCUCGG
rnacentral:rRNA from 1 species